GGGGGUAUAGCUCAGUGAUAGAGCAAGUGUUUAGCAUGCACGAGGUCCUGGAUUCAAUCCCCAGUACCCCUA
rnacentral:tRNA from 1 species